CUUAGGUUCCACUGGAGAUGACAGGGUCUGACAAACCAGAGGAAUCCUCUGGCAAAUAAGUCUUUCAGUUUUAUUUUCUUUAUGGAAAGGUAGUCAGUAAAAAUAAAUCACAUCAGAUAACAGCAGCCUGAUGAACUUUGAGUUGGUUUACUUUGAAAUUGUUCAAAUAAUGGAUUCCAAAGUCUGCUAACACUUUGCUAAAGCUGUCCCUUAGUGGGACAUGAGCUCUCUUGUCUUGUCUUUGCCCAGGAAAAAGUUAAUAAAGCUAAUUAGGAUUCUUGUUAGGCUUGUUUUAUGAUGUGGAGUUUUUUUAAUAAAUAAUUAAGUCACAAUAAUGUACUGAGAAAUGCAGUGAAACGUUACUAAGUUGUCAAUGACUGACAGUUUGUAAAAUUAGUUGAAAUGGAUGAAUCGUUGAAAUGCUGUUUCAUGAGGUACUUCAUAUUUUGGACUUGUGCAGAUACUUGAGAGUAUGCCAAUGACGGACAAAGUUGAAGAAUUGCUACAAGUAAUAGGCCCGUUCUAUGAAAUAGUAGAAGAUAAAAAGAACAGAGGAUCUGGCCUAACCUCAGUUCGAAUGGAGAAAGUAUCUAAAUAUUUGGAAGGUAGGAAUAAGAAAUUAUGGAUAAGUCCAUCUCUUCCAUUGUUUUGGUGCUGUAGUAAUUUUUUGCUAACACUUGUGACUUCUGGGUUUGCCACCUCGUUAGGAUGAAUCUUCUAUUUCUGUUUUGAGGUAAGAAAAAGAGUUAGAUUUGGGAGGCUGUAUGUUUAGUCAUUAUCUAUGCUUUCUGAACUGCUAAAGGAAGAAUCUUCCUGAAGAAAGAAGCAUAUUUAAGGCCAAAUCUAGCUCUUGCCUAUUCAUUCAUGAAAGGAAUGACUGUUGGAAAUGCAUACUGCUACACAGUAAUGCAGCUUUGUUAUCUGAUCUAAAUUUUAUUUUAAAAAGGUAAGAAAUCCUCCCCAGUCAAAACCCACAGCUUUGUUAAUCAUGGUUUCAUAACAUCUUCAGAAUAUAAGAUGAAUUUGUGAAACUUUCAAGUUAACUUUCUGAGAUUCAAAUUUACAAGGGGAGUAUCUUUUUAACCACUUUACGUUUCCAACAAGUGGCAAACCUAGCAGUGUUGCAUAAAAAUCAGUGUGGUGCUUUAAUUUAGCAAUGCCAUUGUAAAAAUGUUUUGAUAAUGGUUUUUAUGUUAUAGGUAAUGUGUUCAUAAGGCUGUGAUAUAAGCCUUAGUGAUUUUUGAGCUGUCUUCAUUUCAGUGAAAACUGUUGAAAUGCAAAAGGAGAAAACUUGUAACAGCUCUAAAACCCAAACCGUUGCACAAAUGAAUUUGAUGUGCUUAAGAAGUAGCAAUGACUGGUGUCUUUUGUAUGUGGGUCUUUUCCCCUUCUUCAGCAAACACAGUUUUGAUUUGGUUUUGGCAUGGAGUCUCAGAGGGAGUUAAAUAGUUAUUCAUUCCAUUUGAAUAAGGGUAAUGGUUGAGGUUUUCAGAUGGCUGCUUUGAAACCAUAAUUUUUUAAAUUAUGAUUGCACGUAGUUCAUGUCAGGAGUUUAAUGAGCUUGCCUGACAGCUGGAUUGAUAGGCAAGAUUUUAAGAGUAUCAGUAGAUUCAGGUCAGUCAGCUGUGUAAUAAGGAUUUACUUACACUUGGUGUCUGUGGCAGAGUGCCACAAAUGCCUUAUU